rnacentral:lncRNA from 1 species
CAGCUAGUGCAAUGUUUCUAUGAUGGAUUGACUGAACGAAACUGUCAGAUGAUCGAUGCCGCAUGCGGGGGAACUUUCAUGCUUAAAAGUGACCAUAAGGCAUGGCAAUUGUUUGAAAACCUUAAUAAAAAUUCCCUCCACCAUGCCUCCUCCGCUCGUCAAGCACCCCCGAGUUCUCAAAGAAAAGGGACCAUAUAUGAAGUUAGCCAGUCCAUAAGUCUAUCUGACAAAGUA